UUACAAAUCAAAGAAUAGUUUAGUUUAGAAUUCUAGCUUUGGGAGUUAGGGGUGGGAGUUAAAAUCUCCUUUCUUUG
rnacentral:tRNA from 1 species